rnacentral:rRNA from 1 species
GACGAACGCUGGCGGCGUGCUUAACACAUGCAAGUCGAACGCUGAAGCUUGGUGCUUGCACUGGGUGGAUGAGUGGCGAACGGGUGAGUAAUACGUGAGUAACCUGCCCUUGACUCUGGGAUAAGCCUGGGAAACUGGGUCUAAUACUGGAUACGACAUGUCACCGCAUGGUGGUGUGUGGAAAGGGUUUUACUGGUUUUGGAUGGGCUCACGGCCUAUCAGCUUGUUGGUGGGGUAAUGGCUCACCAAGGCGACGACGGGUAGCCGGCCUGAGAGGGUGACCGGGCAAAAUGGGACUGAGACACCGGCCAGAAUCCUUCCGGAGGGAGGAGGUGGGAAAAAUUGCAAAAGGGGCGAAGGCUUAUUCAGCGACGCCGCGGUAGGGAAGACGGCCUUUGGGGUUGAAACCUCUUUCAGCACGGAAGAAGCGAAAGUGACGGUACGUGCAGAAGAAGCGCCGGCUAACUACGUG